UCAACCAUCAAGCCUAGCUUGUUGUUGGACUUUGUAGUUGAAAUAAUAUGGCAAGUCCGAAAAAUAAUGACGGUGUCGUGUUUGACCCUAAAUGCAACGAGCUUUCAUAAGCACGCAUUCAAGUGGUUAACCGACCCAGUCUUAACUAUAUAUUUUCUAA
rnacentral:misc_RNA from 1 species